rnacentral:rRNA from 1 species
AUUGAACGCUGGCGGCAGGCCUAACACAUGCAAGUCGAGCGGAGAGGCGGACGGGUGAGUAAGGCCUAGGAAUCUGCCUGGUAGUGGGGGAUAACGUCCGGAAACGGGCGCUAAUACCGCAGACUAACAGAAGAGCCUAGGGCGGAUUAGCUAGUUGGUGGGGUAAAGGCCUACCAAGGCGACGAUCCGUCACUGGUCUGGAAGGAUGAUCAGUCACACUGGAACUGAGACACGGUCCAGACUCCUACGGGAGGCAGCAGUGGGGAAUUUUCGACAAUGGGCGAAAGCCUGAUCCAGCCAUGCCGCGUGUGUGAAGAAGGUCUUCGGAUUGUAAAGCACUUUAAGUUGUGAGGCGUUACCAACAGAAUAAGCACCGGCUAACUUCGUGCCAGCAGCCGCGGUAAUAC